UAAUGGCCCACCAAGACUAUUACAGGUACGGGCUCUGAGAGGAGUAGCCCGGAGAUGGGUACUGAGACACGGACCCAGGCCCUAUGGGGCGCAGCAGGCGAGAAAACUUUGCAAUGUGCGAAAGCACGACAAGGUUAAUCCGAGUGGUUUCUGCUAAAGGAACCUUUUGUUAGUCAUAGAACCGCUAAUGAAUAAGGGGUGGGCAAGUUCUGGUGUCAGCCGCCGCGGUAAAACCAGCACCUCAAGUGGUCAGGAUGAUUAUUGGGCCUAAAGCAUCCGUAGCCGGCUUUGUCAGUUUUCGGUUAAAUCCACACGCUCAACGUAUGGGCUGCCGGGAAUACUACAAGGCUAGGGGGUGGGAGAGGUAGACGGUACUCGGUAGGAAGGGGUAAAAUCCUUUGAUCUAUUGAUGACCACCUGUGGCGAAGGCGGUCUACCAGAACACGUCCGACGGUGAGGGAUGAAAGCUGGGGGAGCAAACCGGAUUAGAUACCCGGGUAGUCCCAGCUGUAAACUAUGCAAACUCGGUGAUGCAUUGGCUUGAUGCCAAUGCAGUGCCGCAGGGAAGCCGUUAAGUUUGCCGCCUGGGAAGUACGUACGCAAGUAUGAAACUUAAAGGAAUUGGCGGGGGAGCACCACAAGGGGUGAAGCCUGCGGUUCAAUUGGAUUCAACGCCGGGAAGGGCGAAUUC
rnacentral:rRNA from 1 species